rnacentral:rRNA from 1 species
UACGUAGGGGGCUAGCGUUGUCCGGAAUCAUUGGGCGUAAAGAGCGCGUAGGCGGCUCGGUAAGCCGGAUGUGAAACCUCCAAGCUCAACUUGGAGCGGCCAUUCGGAACUGCUGUGGCUAGAGUCUGGUAGGGGAACACGGAAUUCCUGGUGUAGCGGUGAAAUGCUUAGAUAUCAGGAGGAACACCAGUGGCGAAGGCGGUGUUCUGGGCCAGUACUGACGCUGAGGCGCGAAAGCGUGGGGAGCGAACAGG